AAGAGCGGCUUUCGGGGGUGGGGGGAGAGAAAGACAACACUGUGCCCCAACACUGACCCGUUACCAACACUUCUCACCACCAUAAAUAUUGAUAAGUGACAGCCAUAUCAUUAAUAUCGGUGUGCCAGAGGUGUAAAACGACUUCAAAACACUUGAAGCGGCACUUGACUCAUUCGCUAACCGCCGCUGCUCAGUUACAACAUCUCAAAACAAAAAAUUUCUGAUGUUGUAGAGAAGGAUUUCAGCUCUUCUGAAACACUGGGGUUGUUGGUGUGGCCAAAUUUUCCCUGGAUUUGAUUGGUAAAUUCAGAAGACUGAAGCCCAGGCUCACAGUCUACCUUUCACGGAGGCCCAGCCGUGAGAGGACAGAAGAAGGCACGUGGCGAAUCAUGACUGCCGACAAAGAGAAAGACAAGGAGAGGGAGCGCGACCGGGACAGGGACAGAGAACGUGAAAAGCGUGACAAAACACGUGAAAGCGAGAGCUCGCGGCCUCGGCGCAGUUGCACACUAGAGGGCGGAGCUAAGAACUAUGCAGAGAGCGAACACAGUGAAGACGACGACAAUGAGACACCUGGGGCCGCCACCGCCGAGGAGGCCACCAAAAAGAGCAA